ensembl:snRNA U4 U4 spliceosomal RNA
AGCUUUGUACAGUGGAAGUAUUUUAGCCAAUGAGGUUUAUCUGAGGCAUGAUUUUUGCUAAUUGAAGAAAAAGAACAUUUGGUGCUUGACUAUGUAAUUUGAAUAUUACACUGAAU